ensembl:lncRNA
ACGCACACACACACACGCACACACACACAUACACACACAUCUACAACUUCUACCAGUGCAGUGUGCCAAUCUCCUCUUAACCUAGGUAAUUAGCAGCAGCCUGUUGUCACUGUAAUAUGCUGCGGUCCCAUUACAGUGUCAGGCGGCCACUAGACACGUAUGAUCCCAGGACUCUGUUUAGCAUUCCAAAGAGACAGGCAAGCAAUGGGCCUGACAAGCUGUCUGUCUAUCUCCAUCAGGACGGAGUCCCAAAGCCCCGAAGUCCUCCUCAGCAAGCACGAAGAUCUCCCUAAGUCACAGUCUGCAAGAGUCUGCAAAAAUCACUCACACCCAUCAUUUUUUUUCUUUUCUCUUAAUUUUUCAGGAUCGUUUUCUUUAUUUUAUUCCAAGUGCCAACCAAUUACCCAUGCUCCUGUAAGAUCCCGUCACAAGUCUGGCAACUGUCCCGAGCCUUUUUCCGUUUGGCAGGGAGACUGGGGGGGGGGAGCUGAAGGCGGAGUGACAGAGCUGCUGCCGCACUUGUGUUGGCAAGUGUGUGUGUGUGUGUGUGUGUGUGUGUGUGUGUGUGUGUGUGUGUGUUAGGUAGGGAGAAAGAAGUAAUGACAGCUUUUAAGAGUGGCUGCUCUAGGACAGCAAACUUCAGCUCCAUCUCCACUAACCCCCUUCUCCCCACUCCUCCUCCCCACCUCCUCUCGCCAUCUCCACCACCUUGUCCCUGUGGACGCUCCUUCCAACUUGAACAUCCUUCAGAGGGUGCCGUUAUCUCCUCAAACCAAUUAUUUGAUUAGGAGACGGAAACCGCUUCAAUAAUUUGCUUUGCUAAUGAGGAGAUGAUGCCAGAGGAGCGGUCUGGCCAUUCCCUCAGUUCUCGUCCCUCUUCCGCUCUUGUCACGGAACAGCGCGCCGGACGGACGCGGGGGUUUAUGCUCGGGAAACAAAAGAAGAAUCGGACCGGAGAUUUUCGCACAGCUUCUCACCUCCUGGGCGACAGGGAAGAGACACUGAGAGACAGAGGGCUCCUCUGGUGCCAAUAUCCCCGUCCCUUUAUCUCUGCCAGUGUGACGCUCCCUUUCGUCCCGUCUCUGGUGCCAGGGAUCCGGUCUGCUUCCGCCAGCGGAGCCCCGCUGACACCCGUCACGUCAGAUGUCAGAUGUUCCCCAAAGGACAGGAUGCGCCGGCACCCGCUAGUCUCUCUCACAAAUCUACAUUUUUUUUGUUUUUUUCAGUGUAUGUGGGAGCAUGUCAUAAUGUUGCAAAUGUCGGCACCCCACCAGACGACAGCCUGCCCACUCCAAGCGAUGCAGCAUCUGGAGGAGGAUGGAGGUGCUGGGACAAAUUCAUUAGAUUUUACAGGCAGUCGCACUGAUUCACAACCCUGUCUUGUUUAACAGUGCCUGUGCUUUUCCGCUGCUCAUGUCCCUCUCUCUCCAUGCUCCGCAGUUUUGGUUGGACCCUCGUGACCCCUCUUGCACACAUCACUCCACACAGUCUGGCACCACUCGGGCGAGCCUGAAGCCGGGGGCAAAUGAAGAUAGCUGGGCAUAAAACAAAAUGAAGAUAGCUGGGCAUAUAACAAAAUGAAGAUAGCUGGGCAUAUAACAACAUGAAGAUAGCUGGGCAUAUAACAACAUGAAGAUAGCUGGGCAUAUAACAAAAUGAAGAUAGCUGGGCAUAUAACAACAUGAAGAUAGCUGGGCAUAUAACAACAUGAAGAUAGCUGGGCAUAUAACAACAGCUCUACAACAUGGAGGAAGGGGCACUGGAACAUAACCAGACAUGAUUCACAGGAAACUGUGAUGCGCAUAAUGGCCUAUUGUACCCUCUGUAACCAGAUCAUAAGCUCAGUAGGCUACUCAGCAAGGAGGGACCCGAAUGGCAUUUUUCAUACUGGUUUAGAGCCACCCCUUGCAAUCUGGAGCCAAGCACACACACAGCUCCAUUUAGUCAACAACAUCACCUUCCAGAUCCUCACAGUAAAGGUGGGCAGCUCACUGAAGCCUCUCCUUGUUUGCAUGAGGUGGGCCGAUACCAAACUCAAGAGCCCCUCUCUCCAACAGAGCUUAUCCCAGCACUCUGACAAAUGUGUCUCCAGCACGGGCUGAUGGAGAGCUCUGAUAAUGACCUGAUUGUAUCUCACUCAGUCUGUUCUCCCGCACUGGAUCUCUGUCAGCGCUGCUGUCAUGCUACACCCAGCGUGAGUGCUGGCUGGCAGGCGCUGCCUUGUAAAUCAGACAGACCUGGUUUCACUCACUGUGAGACCGUCCACAAGAGAGAUGCAGAAACUCAGGGCCAAGGCACACACACACAAAAAAAAGAAGAAGUCAGGAGGACAGUUUAAUUAUGGAUCUCGAAAUAAACCACCCCAACGUCUUUGUUGUUUGUUUCCAGUCAAACAGAUUGUCUUUUUCUUGUUUUUAAUGAAAGCUGUUCAUUAAACUCAAGGUUUUAUAAACUGAAAUGAUUAACUAAAAGUCGAGCCUCUUUAUGCCUGUUAGGCUGCAGUUAAGGGCUUUGGAUGGGAGAGGGGGAAGGCGUCUAUAAUUAAGGAGUCAGUGAUGAUAUACGAAAAGCAUCCUGACGAGUCUCCAAAGACACAAUAAAAGGCUGUUUGCUAACAAGCUAGUGCCAGUAAUGACGGCUGCUUCAAAGAGAGCAGGGCUCUCUGAAACGAGGGCGUUAAGUGGCGCUGACAGAUUCAGAAAUAAUUUUAGGACCUUCGUUUUGAACAGGUGACUAAAGAAGAAGAAAAAUCAAGAAAUGUUUUGAAGUUGACCUCUAGAAUAGUCUCAUUCCUGUAAACCUCCCAUAAAAGUGAGGUUAAAUACACAUACUAUUGUAGUUAUCAGACAUGUUAGCCUCAAAACACCAGGAUUAGCAAAGCCAGGCCAGACAAAAAAAACGAUUUAAAAACGAUUUAAACUUCAUACAUAACAACAAGCCGUUUAGAAUGAGAAUCUGUUUUUCAGGCUCUAUCUUCAUGUUUCAUGAAAAAAAAAAAAAAAAAAAUAUUUGAAUAAACAUACAUGCAGUAGCCAUGACAAAAGUCAAGUGAUAUAAAUACUCCUACGUGCCUCAUUUCAUCUUAGUUUGAGCGCUGCUGCCACCUGUGCUGUUAUUUCUAUGAUCGCAUGCUUAAAUCUAUAUUAUCCCCCAUACAUCUCCUGGAUUAUGACAUGGUAUAUUACAAAAUGGACACUAUGUGCAAUCAAUUUUCAGUUCGACUGCACGCUUUCUCUAUGAGGAGAUUGUCAUUAACUUGCAGAUUAUUCAUAUGUACUGGGCUUCUACUUGAUCCCCAAGGUAGGCUUCAAUCUAGGUCAUAAUUGUUCAUUGAACACUAUAAACACAAAGGAUAUAUCAUUUAUGAAGUUGUUAAGCAAGAGUAUUUUGCAGGGAAAGUGGCUAAAUAUUGUAAAAGAUGACAAAACUGUCAGUAUACCAUGUCACAGCACAGUUUACCUGAAAACUGUAGUAUAAUAGUCCUUUCAACUCUCUCUCUCUCUCUUAAUUUGCAUGAGAGUGUGUGUGUGUGUGUGUGUGAGAGAGAGAAAGUGUGUGUGUAGGUGUGCGUGUGUCUGUAUGUGUGACAGUGUCUUCCAUCACAUCAAACUCUCCUAUUCAUUAUGAGCAGUGCAAUAAAGACUAUUUCUAAAUGAUCGGCACUUUCUCAUUUUCUGACUUUUCCACGGCGCGUGUCAGAGCUGUCUCAGAUCUCUGAUUAGAUGGACGCACGGCAAAGGCACCUCCUCGAGGC